rnacentral:lncRNA from 1 species
CUUGGCUGUUCUGGGCACACUGUACCAGUGGGUGGAUUAAUGAGGUGCCUUCCUGACCAGGCUGCCAGUGAUGGGGCAGAAAAUCACCAGCAAGAAAAGGGCAGAAGGCAGAGAGGGAGGAAGGAGAACAGGGGUAUCAGAUGAUGAUGACGAUGAUGAUGAUGAUGAUGAUGAUGAUGAUGAUGAUGAUGAUGAUGGUGAUCAUAUCCAGAGAGAAGCAAAGUGAAUGUG